UACGAAGGGUGCAAGCGUUAAUCGGAAUUACUGGGCGUAAAGCGCGCGUAGGUGGUUCGUUAAGUUGGAUGUGAAAGCCCCGGGCUCAACCUGGGAACUGCAUCCAAAACUGGCGAGCUAGAGUAUGGCAGAGGGUGGUGGAAUUUCCUGUGUAGCGGUGAAAUGCGUAGAUAUAGGAAGGAACACCAGUGGCGAAGGCGACCACCUGGGCUAAUACUGACACUGAGGUGCGAAAGCGUGGCCAGAAAACCGCAUUAGAUGGCCAGGUAGUCC
rnacentral:rRNA from 1 species